rnacentral:rRNA from 1 species
AAACUCCCUUGACGGUACUUAAUGAAUAAGCCCCGGCUAAUUAUGUGCCAGCAGCCGCGGUAAUACAUAAGGGGCGAGCGUUAUCCGGAAUUAUUGGGCGUAAAGGGUGCGUAGGCGGUUUAAUAAGUCUAUAGUUUAAUUUCAGUGCUUAACGCUGUUGUGCUAUAGAAACUGUUUUACUAGAGUGAGUUAGAGGCAAGCGGAAUUCCAUGUGUAGCGGUAAAAUGCGUAAAUAUAUGGAGGAACACCAGAGGCGUAGGCGGCUUGCUGGGACUUUACUGACGCUGAGGCACGAAAGCGUGGGGAGCAAACAGGAUUAGAUACCCUGGUAGUCCACACCGUAAACGAUGAGUACUAAGUGUCGGGUAAAACCGGUACUGAAGUUAACACAUUAAGUACUCCGCCUGAGUAGUACGUACGCAAGUAUGAAACUUAAAGGAAUUGACGGGACUCCGCACAAGCGGUGGAUCAUGUUGUUUAAUUCGAAGAUACACGAAAAACCUUACCAGGUCUUGACAUUUUCUUGCGAAGUUAUAGAAAUAUAAUGGAGGUUAUCAGGAAAACAGGUGGUGCAUGGUUGUCGUCAGCUCGUGUCGUGAGAUGUUAGGUUAAGUCCUAAAACGAGCGCAACCCUUGUCGUUAAUUGCCAGCAUGUAAUGAUGGGGACUUUAACGAGACUGCCAAUGAAAAAUUGGAGGAAGGUGGGGAUUACGUCAAAUCAUCAUGCCCCUUAUGAUCUGGGCUACAAACGUGAUACAAUGGUUGAUACAAAGAGUAGCUGAAACGCGAGUUCUUAGCCAAUCUCACAAAA